rnacentral:rRNA from 1 species
UACGUAGGGUGCAAGCGUUGUCCGGAAUUAUUGGGCGUAAAGAGCUCGUAGGCGGUUUGUCGCGUCUGCUGUGAAAACUCGGGGCUUAACCCCGGGUCUGCAGUGGAUACGGGCAGGCUAGAGGUAGGUAGGGGAGAAUGGAAUUCCCGGUGUAGCGGUGAAAUGCGCAGAUAUCAGGAGGAACACCGAUGGCGAAGGCAGGUCUCUGGGCAUUAACUGACGCUGAGGAGCGAAAGCAUGGGGAGCGAACAGG